CCCCACUCUGGUGAAAAUAAAGUAUUACUUCUCCUCACCUUGCUCUGCCUCAUUGUGGAUGGUGGGGAUGAAAACUUUGCCGCUUUCUGGUCUCUACCGACACUUCCCUUGUGAAAGCAGAGCUUGCAUUGCCUCAUUGCUUCCUGCUGAGGGUGAAAGUUCUGCUCCCUGUUGAGUCCUGCUGACGCUGGCAGGAAUGGGGAGAAGUGAGGUGCCCACUAAUCCUGCUAGUUUCACCACAUUGCUGCUGGUUGGAGUGGGAGUUUAGCUCCCCACUGAGCCUGCUAAUAUCAGAGAAGUGAUUUCUGUUUUCAAAAGAUCACUCUGGUUCUUUGUUGAAUAUGGAUUGUCUUGGGACAAGCAAUAAUGCAAGAAAAUACAGAGAGAGGCAGCUGUCAGUCAAGUCCUGUUCAGAUGUGACACUCACAACUGUUGCAACCAUCCUGUAGACGUGGGAGGAGAAGGUCCAAGGACAGCCCAGAGUCUUCCAAUGGUGGAGCAGAGGGAGUAUUGCUCUAUUCCUGAGGCUGGAGUUCAGUGGUGCAAUCUCGACUCCGCAGCAUUUAUCUCCCAGGCUCAAGUGAUCCUUCUAUUUCAGUCUCUCUGGUAGCUGGGAUUAUAGGUAUGUGGCACCUUGGUCAGCUAAUUUUUAAAAAUUUUUG
rnacentral:lncRNA from 13 species